rnacentral:lncRNA from 1 species
UCUACAUGACAAAGAACUUGUUUCCUCCUCCUCCCUUCUUUUUCUUGUCUCCUUAAAGCAGGUGAAGAUGCAGAAAACCAGUGAGGACAUUCCUGACAAACAAAGUCAGAGUGCAGUGAAGUAAAAGCAACAGUCAUGAGAAAAUCCUCUGCUAUUCAGAGAGUCAAGUCAGUGGACACUUCUGUGUUCCCAUCCCAUCCAGGGCACCACAGACGGGUUCCCAAGAGCCCAGACUUAUUUCUAGGCAGCAGCAUGCCAGCAAGAUAACGGUCAAUCAAACGGACAUCGCCC